GAUGAACGCUAGCUACAGGCUUAACACAUGCAAGUCGAGGGGCAGCAUGGGGGUGGCUUGCCACCCCCGAUGGCGACCGGCGCACGGGUGAGUAACGCGUAUCCAACCUGCCCCUGUCCUCGGGAUAGCCCUCCGAAAGGGGGAUUAAUACCGGAUGCGGUCACAUGAUGGCAUCAGAGCGUGACGAAAGGUUUUUUCCGGACAGGGAUGGGGAUGCGUCCGAUUAGGCAGGCGGCGGGGCGACGGCCCACCGCGCCGACGAUCGGUAGGGGUUCUGAGAGGAAGGUCCCCCACAUUGGAACUGAGACACGGUCCAAACUCC
rnacentral:rRNA from 1 species